rnacentral:lncRNA from 1 species
CAGAAUGUUCCUUGCUGCAGAUGCAUUGGCCCCAUCUGCAGGUCCUCUUUGACACCUACCUUACUCUCUCCCUCCACUCACACUCUGAGAACUGUGCUCAGGGGCAGCGCUACAACUUCCACAUUGGUCUUUACAGGGCUUGAGUGAUUAUUUCAAGAACAGAACGCUGUGUGGAAACCUUUACCAUAUUUCGUUGUAUCUAAGACACAUUUUUUUUUUUUGAAAUUUAACAUCUCUAAGGUUGGGUUAUGUUUCUUCAUCAUUGUCAGGUUGGAGCUUAAUCAGCAGCACUUUUUUUUAAUGUCACACACAGUAAUGGUGAUGCAUCUCACAAUUGAGAUCAUCUUAGACAUGAUGGAAUAUGGAAUCGUGUGCCUGUUACAAGCCAGGCUCUUGUCUGGGUUCUAGAGACGGUGGAAACCAAGACAGCACCAUCCUCUAGUGGUGUUCACAUCCCACCACAGUGGAGUCAGGACUUUGAAGUCCUCCAUUGGAUCUUCUCGGAAGAUGAGGGAAAUGAGAGAGUGUGGAGAGAGAUUUUGUAAGUCCGGUCUGGAAGUGGUCAUUGUUCAGAAUCCAGCCACGUGGGUACAUGGAACUGUAAGAAUAUGUUCUGUGGACACUACAGAUGCAGAUUAAAUCACCUGCAAAGUGAAUCUGUCAGCCCUAACAAUAAGAAUAGCUCUUUUAUGAUGAGCAGGUGAGACCAGGUAAUUACCGAAGAAAGAGAGUGAUGUGUUCAUUGAAGUCUACUCAUGGAGGAAAGAAGAUCAAUAAUAUGAGACUAUCUUGGGAUGGGACCUGGGCGUGUAUGAUUUAAGUAUUCUCAAGUCAUCAUGGAUAGUUAGAGUGGAGAAUCACUUUUCUAUACCACAAACAUCUCGAAUACCAUGAGAAGUGUUAAGACCACCCAGAAGAGGUAGAGAAACUUCUUUUUGGUUGGAGCAUCAGUGAAAACAUCUUGGAAAAGAUUCUAUUACUCUUAAAUUGCAUAUGGUUGGUGUUGACCUAACAUCCUGACCUGUCAGUACAAUUUGAAUCCUGAUUCUGCCAUCAAACAUGCCAAUGAUUCCUUCCAUAAAUGUGGCUAUUUCAACAUGGGAAACUGAAAUCGGGCAUAUCCCUGCGGAAGAAGCUGUCUCUUAGCGAAGAAUAAAACUGUGGACUGACCCCCACCCAUUUGCGAAGAAAGUACUGGGUCUUCAGCUUUCAUUGUUCAGCCGGUGGUCUUUGUGGACAACACCAGGGGCCCCUCCUGCUGAAGACUGUCUGGACUUCCUGAUUUUCACUCCUGUAUAAACCCCCUCCCCCAUUACUACCUUUGUCUCCUUGGGGAAAAAAAAUGUUUUUCACUUAAGCAAAAUAAUAACUACCCAGUAUUUGUUUCUGGAGUGAAAUUGUAAACUUCAUUGUACAUUCUUCCUGGCUUUGAUGCUUAUCGUGAAGAGUUCAGUGAAAAUAAAUUGUUUUUAUGAAAGCAGAGAAACCAUUUGAUA